UACGUAGGGGGCAAGCGUUGUCCGGAAUCAUUGGGCGUAAAGCGCGUGUAGGCGGCCAGGUAAGUCCGUUCUGAAAGCCCGGGGCUCAACCCCGGGAGGCGGAUGGAUACUGCUUGGCUCGAGUCCGGAAGAGGCGAGUGGAAUUCCCGGUGUAGCGGUGAAAUGCGCAGAUAUCGGGAGGAACACCAAUGGCGAAGGCAGCUCGCUGGGACGGUACUGACGCUGAAGCACGAAAGCGUGGGGAGCAAACAGG
rnacentral:rRNA from 1 species